UAAUGGAAUUCUUAAACACAUUUAUUAACAUAUGGGGAAACUGAGGCUCCAGAUGGCAAGAGGUCACCCACCUUGUUUUUGGCAGGGUUGGGAGGAGACACUGGAUACUCUUGGGCCUCCAGCUCCUUCCUACUCCACUCUCAAGAGAAAGAAAAGAAGGUGCCCCACUGCUCCUUAAGAGUAGGAUCACAGAUUUCAUUCUUCCUGACCUAGUCCUUACUACAUAUCCUGGUGGUUCCAUUCAACCUAAGGCAGGGGAAAAGAGGACCCUCUACUCCAGAGUUUAUUAGUUCGUUUCAUUUUACUUAAAAUUUUACAUCUCUGUAAACUUUUCUAUGCCCUUGUAAAAACUGACCAACAAUACUGGAAACAAAUAAUGUAAAAAGGGCAGAGGCUUCUAUAGGGAACUCGGCCUGUUUUAGGCAAGACAAACAUCCAACGGAUUCAGACCUUCCUUGCUGCUGGCUUCCUUCCCUCUUCACAGUCACAGGUCCCAGCCAUGAAUACCUGCACUCUUCCUGUCCCACCAGCUGACAUUAACAAAAAGCUGGGAGCUUCCCCAGUGCCCCAGUGAAUCACGAACGCAUGAAAUCCUCUCUAGUGGUGAGCUGUACAAAGUAGUAAAGACCCAGGUCUCCUGUAGCUUAGCCCAGGACCACAGACGGCAUAUGAACCUUACAGGAGCAGGCCAGGGGAAGGUGUAAAGAUAUCAAACAAAUUAUGUCCAAUUUAUUUAUUCAUAAGCAAUGUCAUUUAUGGAAUUAAAGAGUAUUUACUUCAUCUUAUUGUCUUCAAAGAUCUAAAAUGGUGCCACUCACAUUAACAGUAUAGUUACUAU